GGAUCACAAGAAGGUCCAGACUUUAUGAUUCAUCUGUCUGUUAUUAACAGUGAAGAUGUGACAACAACUAAAUCAACAACAGUGAAGUUCACCACAAAAACAUCAUCGACAACAAAAUCCACAACAUCAACAAUUAAACCAACCGUGAAAAUAAACACAUGGACAACAAGAGAGGAAUUAAAGACGUCAGCAGGGACACUGACAACAGCAUCAAAUAUUCCAUCUGGAGGUAGAGACUGAAUCUCUCUUUUUUUGAAGUCUGGAUGUCAGACUGAGACUUGACUAUGUGUGGAGAAUUUCAGUAUCAUGUUUAACAUGUUUUAAUAAUCUCUCCAGUUC
ensembl:lncRNA